rnacentral:rRNA from 1 species
UACGUAGGGUGCAAGCGUUGUCCGGAAUUAUUGGGCGUAAAGAGCUCGUAGGCGGCUUGUCGCGUCGACUGUGAAAUCCCAGGGCUCAACCCUGGGCCUGCAGUCGAUACGGGCAGGCUAGAGUGCAGUAGGGGAGACUGGAAUUCCUGGUGUAGCGGUGAAAUGCGCAGAUAUCAGGAGGAACACCGGUGGCGAAGGCGGGUCUCUGGGCUGUAACUGACGCUGAGGAGCGAAAGCGUGGGGAGCGAACAGG